rnacentral:rRNA from 1 species
GGGAGGUAGUGACAAUAAAUAACAAUACCGGGCUCUUUGAGUCUGGUAAUUGGAAUGAGUACAAUUUAAAUCUCUUAACGAGGAACAAUUGGAGGGCAAGUCUGGUGCCAGCAGCCGCGGUAAUUCCAGCUCCAAUAGCGUAUAUUAAAGUUGUUGCAGUUAAAAAGCUCGUAGUUGAAUUUCGGGGUUAGUAGGUUGGUCAUGCCUUUGGUAUGUACUGAUCUCACUGAUUCCUCCCUCUUGACGAACUGUAAUGUCAUUAAUUUGGUGUUGCAGGAAAUCAGGACUGUUACUUUAGAAAAAUUAGAGUGUUUAAAGCAGGCUAACGCUUGAAUACAUUAGCAUGGAAUAAUGAAAUAGGACGUUAAUCCUAUUUUGUUGGUUUCUAGGAUCGACGUAAUGAUUAAUAGGGAUAGUUGGG